GGAAUAUUGGACAAUGGGCGAAAGCCUGAUCCAGCCAUGCCGCGUGUGUGAAGAAGGUCUUCGGAUUGUAAGGCACUUUAAGUUGGGAGGAAGGGUAGUAACUUAAUACGUUGCUAUUUUGACGUUACCGACAGAAUAAGCACCGGCUAACUUCGUGCCAGCAGCCGCGGUAAUACGAAGGGUGCAAGCGUUAAUCGGAAUUACUGGGCGUAAAGCGCGCGUAGGCGGUUAUGGAAGUUGGAUGUGAAAGCCCCGGGCUCAACCUGGGAACUGCGUCCAAAACUGGCAAGCUAGAGUACGGUAGAGGGUGGUGGAAUUUCCUGUGUAGCGGUGAAAUGCGUAGAUAUAGGAAGGAACACCAGUGGCGAAGGCGACCACCUGGACUGAUACUGACACUGAGGUGCGAAAGCGUGGGGAGCAAAC
rnacentral:rRNA from 1 species